AGCGAACGCUGGCGGCAGGCUUAACACAUGCAAGUCGAACGGGCAUCUUCGGAUGUCAGUGGCAGACGGGUGAGUAACACGUGGGAACGCACCCUUCGGUUCGGAAUAACUCAGGGAAACUUGAGCUAAUACCGGAUACGCCCUUUUGGGGAAAGGUUUACUGCCGAAGGAUCGGCCCGCGUCUGAUUAGCUUGUUGGUGGGGUAACGGCCUACCAAGGCGACGAUCAGUAGCUGGUCUGAGGGGAUGAUCAGCCACACUGGGACUGAGACACGGCCCAGACUCCUACGGGAGGCAGCAGUGGGGAAUAUUGGACAAUGGGCGCAAGCCUGAUCCAGCCAUGCCGCGUGAGUGAUGAAGGCCUUAGGGUUGUAAAGCUCUUUUGUCCGGGACGAUAAUGACGGUACCGGAAGAAUAAGCCCCGGCUAACUUCGUG
rnacentral:rRNA from 1 species